GGUUGGCCUGUAGCCACAGUUUUGGGGCACAGAUUGGAGGUGUGAGCAGGGGUUAAUAUUAAGGUGACCAGAUUUCUGUAAUGAAACCAGGGGACAUUCGGCCUUGUAAUAACUCCCGUAACAACUGUUGCUCAGGACUGCUUACUUGUGCUUCCUUACCCAUUUUCGGGGACAGCUUUUUCCAGGGACAGGUAAUCCUAUUCGGGGACUGUCCCCGGAAAUGGGGGACGUCUGGUCACCUUAGUUAACGUAGGAUAAGGUUCUUGCAUGUACUGUGCCCAUGGGCUUUGAACAAGAGGAGUAUACCCACAUUUAGCGAGGUGCCGACUCUGAUGCCACAGUACCAUCAUCUGCUGCAUCUCUCUCUCCCUCUCUUGAACAUAAAAUCUAUUUAUUUGUUUAUUUAAUAAUCAUUUAUCUAUUUAACAGCGUACUGCUGUGUACCGCUGCAUACCUGCUUCCUGGCUUACUCUGGGUGUGAGAGGAAGACCCACAGCUUGAACAAGAAAAAGCUUGAUGCUAAGUCGAGUUGAGCCAGGUCGCCUACGGACUAAUCAAGUCUGGUUGAAUCUUUGAAUGUACUUAGCAGCUUUGCUGAAAAUGAUUUGUGAGAUUCCUAGAAUAAUAUUCUUCCAUAAGUCAUGUCUGAAUCAGAAAUAAUGGCAAGAUAUGUGUCCAGUUCAGUUCUGCGUGCUGAAAACACUUCACAUAUGACAUUUCCAAAUACGCAGAAAGCUACAUGAAUUCAGCUAAGGUCGGAGAUUUAAACAGACGCGCAUCACGAUAUUUAAGCAUCACAGACUCAUCUCCGCAAUCCACAAUGCGUCUAUCGUUGUAGUCGGAGCACAGCAAGAUUAUUUACAAGAUUAAUGUCGGUACCUUCGAGGAUUUGGCUCCGCAGAUUCGGUGUAAUUGCAGCCGCGGGAGGGAAGAAUGGGACGCCGGUGGCGACGGGGACUGCACUUCCCAGGGUCUUUGGCGGGAUCGUGACGCUGUCGUAGGUUGUCGCUGGAGUGACGUCAUCGUUCAGCGCGGUGAAAGAAGGUGACAGCUGGGAUGAAGGAGGACAGCUUAGCACGUACCGAACCGGAUUCUGGGGCUUCGAUCCUCGAAGACAUGUGGGCGAGCGAUGGCUGGAUGCUGGAUAGUGCUUUCAGGAUGGGAUUGUCGUCCACGUCCGCGGUUCUGGUGGCUGGGGUUGGGCCUCGCGCUCUGCGGGCGGCGGCGGUGACGCGGCGGGAACAGCGUUUUCUUUUCUCGGUCGCUUUUCUGGAUACAGAGGAGGAAGAGAGAACUGCAAGUGGGGGCUCUAUGUGGAUAUUGAUGUGAGGCACCACCGGGAGCUGUGAUGUUAUCUUUAAAGGACUUCCGGGAGCCUGGACUUCAUGAAGCUGGGAGACAUAAAAGUUUUACUUGCCAGAGGAGAGCUCGUGCGGAAGGGAACGCAUCUGUCAUUGCAAGGACUGGCUUCCUCGACCUCACAUGCUGGUGCUGCGUUUCAGAAAGCAGUCAAUCUGCCGUGGAUCCUUGUCGUGGGCAGGGAUCGACAUGAUGAAGAGCAAGGUAGGAAAACGCAAAAACGCAGAGUAGACAGGAGAAGCAGUUUAAAUAGGGCGCCAUUUUGACAUUAGCCAAUAGGAUGUGUAGAGGGCGAUCACCUGAGCUGUAAGCUAACUGAGGGCUGGUUUAAGAUCAGCUUGACUCAGCGACCUGCCUGAACUACCUCUAUUCCUCCUUUCUCCUCCCUUAUUUCAUCCUCCCUUCUUUUGUUUCCUUCCCCUCUCCUUUGUUUCCUCCUCCCCUCCUUCCUUAUUUCCUCUUCUCCUCCCUUGUUUCCUUCUCUCCUCCUUUUACCUUUUGUUAUCUUUGAUGCUCUCUCUGCUUCGGUCCACAGGGGGGAGCCAAAUCCUUUUGAUAUUCCUUUUGUUUAUAUUGAGACAAUGUCUGAUUCUGGUGGCAGGUUUAUUGCAGGUCAUAGGACACAUUUUUAUGCCCCCAACUGGGAUGAUGAGUCUUUUUUAGACAGGUUUUCUCAAUGCUACCUGACUUGUCCAUGUAUGAUUUAAUCUUAGGUGGAGACUUCAACUGCUGGAUUAAUCCAUACUUAAAUCAUUCUUCCCAAUCCAAGUCGACCAAAGUGAUUCAAGCCUUUAUAAACAAGGUUAAUGUUGUUAACCCUUGGCGUUUUUUCGAUCCAGAUAAAAGGGAAUACUCUUUUUUUUUUCUUUCAUAUUCAUCAUACUUACACUUGAAUUGAUUUUUUUCUAGUGAAUAAUAAGUUGUUAUCCAACAUUUCUGGCUGCAAAUAUGACUCAAUUGUUGUUUUGGAUCAUGCCUCCAUUUCCAUGAAUGUUUAUUUUCAGAAGUUUGUUAACCCUUGUGUCACCUUGUGGCUUUUAUUAUCCAGUAGGGUGCAAAAUACUCACUUUUUGACCAAAAUACUCACUAUUUUUUAGAGAGUGAAAUCAUUUUUGGUAAAGAAGUUUAAUUUGACGUAAUUUGAAGUUUAAUUUUGACGUAUUUUUAAUUUUCUCUGGCUGUUUUGGGUCACUUACUUUAGCUGCUAUAAAAACAUACCAGACAAUUUUUUUUUUGCUCAAAUCUAUUCAAAGCUCAGUCCUUAUCAUAACAUUUUUUAUUAUUAUUUCAUUAUGAAUUUUAACCCUUAAAUGCCAAAUUAAGAGGUGAUGUCACUGAUUUGGUGGAAAGAAAAAAAUCACACAAAAUGACAGAAUUUCAGUGUAAAAAGUAAUCAGAGGCUGAAGAUUUUUUACAUGCUAUCACACCCUUGGGUAUGUCAAAUAUAACAAAAUUAACUUUGAUGCAUUUUUAUUUUUUGCACAGCAUCGGGUUUAAGUUCAUCAUAACCGCACAGCUUUUCUAUCCGCCCGUUUGCGCUCAUGUUUUCAGAAAGGAGGGGAAAGCAAGAGUGGGAGAGAAUGAAAUUUUUUCAUGUCCGGUAUGCUUAUUAUUGGUAGAAAACCACCCAAAAGUGGAUUUUUCAUAAUAGGGGACCUUUAAAACUAUUUGGGAGACAGAUCUGGGAGAGGUGAUUCCUGAUGAUGUUUGGGAAGACAUUUUGUGGAGGGUACAUAAAGCUUCAAUAUGUGCUGGUCACAGCUUUAUGCAAUGCUGAAUCCUACAUCGAGCUCACUACACUAAAGCCAUACUUUCAAAAAUGUUCGAUUCAGUGUCUCCUCUAUGUGAUCGAUGCCAACAAUCCACAGCAAAUUACUCUCACAUGUUUUGGAGCUGCUCUUCUCUGACAAGAUUUUGGUCUGAAAUGUUCAAUACUUUUUCCAAGAUAUCUUAAAGGGAUUUGACUCCCAAUGCCUUAACUGCUUUAUUUGGUGUAUGCCCUUUCCCUCGUAGUCUUUCCCCUACUAAAAGGGAUUUCAUAGCAUUUACAGCUAUGUUAGCCAGGAGGUUGAUACUGCUAAAAUGGAAAUCCCAAGUCCCACCUACCCAUACAAAUUGGGUUAAGGAGGUGCUUAAUUUUUUUUAGCACCUCCUUAUUUUUUUUCUCAUUUGUCCUGUGUUAACAGCACAAGAUGUCCGAUCACUGUGACCUGAGUAUUGUAAUGCUGAGCCUCUUUUUUGUUAUUGUUUGUUUAUUUGUUUGUUUUUCUAUGUUGGGCUGAGUGCCAACGGGAUGUGGUGGGGGGGGUGGGUAUCUGUUCUGGGUUAUGUUGAAUCUACAAAACCCAAUUCCACUGAAGUUGGGAAAUUGUGAUAAAUAAAAACAGAUGAAAUACUUACAUUAUGAUAAAAUACACGUGAUAGCAUACACAUAAAAUUUUUCUUACAGCAACGAUUUGCAAAUGAUUUCUAACCUAUAUUCAAUUGAAUACAGAAUCUGAUGGCAGCAACACGUGACAAAGAAGUCGGGACAGGUGAGAAAUUUGAGGAAUGCUCAUCAAACACCUAUUUGGACCAUCCCACAGGUGAGCAGGCUAAUAGGGAACAGGUGGGUGAUUCAGUCAUUCACAAGCAAGGAUGGGGCGAGGUUCACCACUUUGUGAACAACUGCGUGAGCAAAUAGUCGAACAGUUUAAGAACAACGUUUCUCAAAGUACAAUUGUAAAGAAUUUAGGGGUUUCAACAUCUAAGGUCCAUAAUAUCAUCAAAAGGUUCAGAGAAUCUAGAGAAAUCUCUGCACGUAAGCGGAACGGCUGGAAACCAACAUUGAAUGCCCGUGACCUUUGACCCCUCGGGUGGCACUGUAUCAAAAACUGACAUCAUUGUGUAAAGGAUAUCAGCACAUGGGCUCAGGAACACUUCAGAAAACCACUGUCAGUAAAUACAGUUUAUCACUACAUCUGUAAGUUAAAACUCUACUAUGCAAAGAGAAAGACAUUUAUCAACAACAUCCAGAAACGCCGCUGGCUUCUCUGGACCCGAGCUCAUGUAAGAUGGACUGAUGCAAAGUGGAAAAGUGUUCUAUGUGUUCUAAGUGUUCUCAUUCUGCACGUGUUCCAACAGCGUGGCUUCGUAGUUAAAGAGUGCGGGUACUCGACUGACCUGUCUGCAGUCCAGACCUGUCUCCCUUGAAAAUGUGUGGAGCAUUAUGAAGCGUAAAAUAGGACAACGGAGACCCCGGACUGUUGAACGACUGAAGCUGAACAUCAAGAAUGGGAAAGAAUUCCACCUUCAAAGCUUCAACAGUUCGUCUCCUCAGUUCACAAAUGUUUACUGAGUUUGUUUAAAGGAAAGGGGAUGGAACACAGAGGUAAACAUGUCCCUGUACCAACUACUUUGUCAUGUGUUGCAGCCAUGAAACUCUGAGUUAAUUGUUAUUUGUAAAAAAAAGAAUAAAGUUUAUGAGUUUGAACAUUAAAUAUUUUGUCUUUGUAGUGUAUUCAACUGAAUAUGAGUUGAAAAGGAUUUGCAAAUCAUUGUAUUCUGUUUUUAUUUAAAUUUAUCACAAUUUCCCAUCUUCAGCGGAAUUGGGUUUUGUAUAUAUAAUCUGCAAUUAGAAUACUGAUGUUUUUGCAUUGUGUAAAAUCCCAAUAAACAGACUGUUAAUACAAAAAAAAUGUUAAAAAAGAGGAAAACUGCAGCAAACUGACCGCUGACCAAAAGAGAAAAGCUCUAUCAGGGCUGUUGUGCUCAUAUUAAAACUGAACAGGUGAUAAAGAAAUGCAGACAAUCACAUCCUUCACCUCCAUAUAAAAAGUCUCAAAUGAUCAUGGGUUAAUAUUUAACCCUCCUGUUGUUCCCUCUGUAGCUGCUUUAAACAAAGUCCUCUGACCGAGUUCGACAUGAUUUCACCUUCCAGGACGUCUGAACAUGAAUUGUCUUUUAACCAAAGUUUUUCCACUCUCAGCUCUGCACCGAUUCAGAGGUCUGAGGAAAAAAUAAGGAUUCAUGUAUUCAUGUUCUGGAAGCUAUAGUCUUUGUUCUGCGACUCAGUCACAUAACUACUUUUGCUAUCUGUCCCCAAAGUUCAUCUUGAAAUGGGUCAAAGAAGUUUUAGAGAUGCUGCUCCUGCAGACUGGAAUCUGCAACAAUAAAAUCUGUGUGUUGGACAGCUGGUCUUUUUAAAUCUUUUUAAAUGUAGAUUAGAGGCUCUAGAGGAAGAUGAAGCAGGCUGUAUUUGACUGAAAAUGUUCUUCUCCACAGACGGGUUCAUACUACAGACAGGCAAACCCAGACAAAAGACAGGUUUACAAUGCUGUCAGGUUUACACAAACUACUGACAGGGUUAUACCACAGACAGGUUUAUACUACAGACUGAUUUUACAGACUACAGAGGGGUUUACACUGACUAUAGAUGGGUUAAAAUAGACAACAGACUGAUUUUGGGAACUUCAAUAAAUUAGUCAACUAACAGGUCAUCAAAGAGUACAGACAGGUUUUUACAGACCACAGACGGAUUUGUAUAGACUUUGGGCAAAUUCAUACACUUGGGUCUCCAGGAGCUGCAGAAGAAAUCAAAGUUUUGAGAUGCCUUAAAAAGGGAAAACCGCAGCAAACUGACCCCUGACCAAAAGAGAAACCCUCUGUCAGGGCUGUUGAAAGACGUAAAGGGUUAUGAAUCAGAGUCAGAAUUGCUUUAUUGAUCCCAAGCUGGGAAAUUAUGGAUACAUAACCAUGGAAAUAUGUGCAGACAAUCAUAACCUUCACCUCAUAUAAAAAGUCUAAAGUGAUAAUGUGUUAAUAUUUAACCCUCCUGUUUGUUCCCUCUGCAGCUGCUUUAAACAAAGUCCUCUGACCGAGUUCGACAUGAUUUCACCUUCCAGGACGUCUGAACAUGAACUUUUAUCUUCAAACCCAACGUCUGUGCUACUCACCAAGUUUUUCCAUUCUCCGCUCUCCGCUCUGAAAAAAUAAGGAUUAUUCAACAUAAUCAUCAACACUAAAAGGGUUACAGCCUGAUGAGACCCAAAAUUCAUCCUGAAAUACAGAAAAUGAAUGUUUAUCAGAGUCUUCUGUGUCAAAGGAAAAACUCCGUUUUUAGAGGGUGGUCUCUGACAGAAAAGAAACUCCAAACAACUCCAGAGUGAACACAUGAACUUAAACACAGACAGGGUUAUACUACAGACAGGAUCAUACUACAGACAGUAGGGCUACACGAUACAUUGUUUGAUCAUCGUCAUGGCAAUGUAUGUGUGUGCGAUAGUCACGUCAGAGCCUGCGAUGUCAGAGGCGAAAGAACUCAUCUAAUUUUCAGGGUAGCUGACUGACAUACAUUGCAUGUGACUCUGCAGGUGCAGUGCAGCAAUCCACCAAUCACAUUCGUUCUUUACUCGGUUGCCAAUUAGACUACCCUGCCAGCCGUCAAUCAAAAUCAGAGAGGAGGAAACCACGCCCCUUCACAUGGAGUAAGUCGCUGGCGCUGCCGGUGUUGGUCCGAUAGACACAUGCCCACUAAGAAUUACUUUGGGAACAUUCUUCAUCACUGUUUAGCCCCACAAAUAAGAACUGUAUGGGUUUGAAAUUGGACAUUUCCAUGAACCACUCGACUAGAAGUGGUGUGCUUUUCAAAGCUCUUAAUGGUCUUGCACCAACAUAUUUAUCAGAUUUGCUUUCUUCAUACGAUCCCAUGAGAGCCCCCAGUCUUCAGGUAGUGGUCUUUUAUCUGUUCUUAAAGUAUGAACAAAGACUCACAGUGAGGCAACUUUUAAGUAUGAUGGCCCAUGUCUGUGGAUCAGCUGACCUGAAGACCUGUAGACAGCACGGAGUCUCCAUAUUUUUAAAAGUAAAUUUAAGACCCACCGUUUUAGUUUAGCUUUAAACUACCUGUUUAUCAUAAUGUUUUUUCAAAUUUAUUCUUACACCAUAUUCUAUAUAAUAUUAUAUUCAUAUAUUCUGUAAUCUUACACUGUUUUAAUGUUCUUCUCUUUUUACUCCUCUAUCUGAUAUUUUAAUAUUUUGUUAUACGUCCAAUGAUCCCUCAGUUUGCUCAGUUGUUUUAUCUAUUAAUUUAUUGAACUUAUUUAUUGAUUAAAGUUUGUUGUUUUUAUUCUGACCUUCCUUUUCUUUUUCUGUACAUCUCUUUGUGUUGCACCAUCAUUGUUUUAGAAGUCCUUCAUAGAUAAAGUUUGUCUUCUUGACACAGACUGGGGUGGGCUCAGUUUCAGUCUUCCAGUGAAUCAUGUGAGUGAUUCCAAACAGGGAGACUGAAAGUGAAAUUAUGGAAACUCUAUAAAAACUCACCAGCCCGCUGAUCUGCAGAGUCACUCUGAGCAGAGAUACAGCAGCAGGUAAGAGCUACUUUAACCUGUUGCGACCUCUUUUUACAGUCACUAUAUCAUUUAUAGAUUAUCACUGAAACACCAACUCUGUCCUCCAGCUCCAUUUUAAUCUGUAGAAACUGGAUUGGAGCAUUUUAUUGAGUUGCAUGCUGUCUCAUCAUGUUUGGAGGGUUUUACUUCAGAAUAAGGAGAUUAUUGUAAUGAUGAUCACUUUGUUCCUCAUAGGUUGAUGUAAAGGAGAAAUAUUGAACUCUUUAUAUCAGCUGAUUACCUCUCAGAUUUAUCAUUAAUGGUUCAGCCUUAAACAGAU